GUGAGCUUUUAGAAUACGGGCGAUAGCCUUUAAUUUAACGGCAUUCCCAACACAUUAUAAACUUUCUUACUGAUCUUUCGCACCAUUCUCUAUUUUGUGGGCGACUCAGCUAAAAAAGUGUAAUCGCUGCCAUGCCAUUAUUUGUAAUCACAAUUCUAUCACCAUGUUCCUAGACCGCCUGUACGCUGUCAACUGAGGCACUCUCUCCCUGAACGCCUAAGCCAAGCUGGUCAUUUUGAAUUUUUCAGGGGGGUGACAGCUUGUCCUUAGCACAUUGGCUUGGAACAUGGCGAGUGUUUUGCAAUUGCGAAUCAUGGCGUGGCGGCGAUUACGCUAACUUCAAAGGCGUGGACUAAAAAGUCGGGCUUCUGUAUGUGUUUAUUCUGUGGCACGGGAGAUUAAGAAAUAGAAAACACUGAUUUUCCAAGCCAUUGGGAGGACUAUUCAAAAUAACGAGAAUACUUGGUCAUUUGUGCGGUGUUUCCAGCUAGAGCUACCCUAAGGAAAAGUUUGCCAUUUGAUUUAUAAUAUGAUAAUAUCGAUUGUUUAUUAUUUUAUAUCGAUUAAUUUAUAAAGUUUCAUUACCUGAGCAUAAAAUGCCCUCGGCGUUGCCCUUUGCUCGUCAAUCACACCACAAAAUCACAGAAUAGAUAAAUAUAGAUUACUUAAUAACGAAUUAACCGUGGAGUAAUUUGUUUAUUUAUAAGUAUAGAGAUUUGCUGUAAAAUACUUGACACUGACAGACACACAAACGAAGUAUAUCUAGCCUCAGAAACAGACUCUUCACCUCUUAUAAUUAUUUCUUUAUUUUCUCGCUGGAAUUCUAUUGUUCGCGUAAAAUGCAGUAAACUCUCACUUCGCCGAUUUUGGUGAAACCACUGGUCUACUAUUAGAUCAAGGUAUAUACUAUUUUGCUGACCUCGGAAUGACAUUACGUCAAACUCUUUUUUCUUCAAGAUUGGUUUAGAAACAAACUUGGAGUAGGGUUAGGGUUAGGAUUAGGGUGUUUGGAAUAAGGUUAGUAUUGGUAAAACAGUUGCUUUGUUACAUUUUUUAUCACUUUGAGGCCAGCGAAAUAACCUCUUCCUUAGAUCAAUGGUUGAAACCAGGCGCCAUGUUUGCAAAUUUUGAGCGGGACAGUAGUAGCCAAUCAAAACGCUGAUACGAUAAUUCACUUUAUGUAAAAGUCGUUCCACCAAUCAAAACGCUGAUACGAUAAAUUACACGUUUGCGAGCCGGCGGGAAACUUUAAACGCUUCUCGUGUACUUUAAUAUAUACAACAAUGAAAACUUGCUUCAUAUAAGCGCGAAAGCAAACAGUAAACGUUUAAGAUUAAGAUUCGUAGAGGUAGUUUCUUUAUUUACUAUUUGUUAGCUCAAACCGAGGACGAAGUCGACAAACCGAGGACGCUUUUGCGUAUUUUGUAAUGUUGUCAAAUUAAGCCGAAGUGGGCCGAACCAAUCACCAACGGGUUGUCUCUCGGCUUGUGUCUUUCCAGUUACGAUAACCCACUAGUUAUUGGUUCGGCUUCAGUUUAAAACAAUUGUUAUCAAUCAAUCUCCAUAGUGCAGAAUGAAGCCUCGUG